GAUGAACGCUGGCGGCGUGCCUAAUACAUGCAAGUCGAGCGAAUGGAUUAAGAGCUUGCUCUUAUGAAGUUAGCGGCGGACGGGUGAGUAACACGUGGGUAACCUGCCCAUAAGACUGGGAUAACUCCGGGAAACCGGGGCUAAUACCGGAUAACAUUUUGAACCGCAUGGUUCGAAAUUGAAAGGCGGCUUCGGCUGUCACUUAUGGAUGGAUCCGCGUCGCAUUAGCUAGUAGGUGAGGUAACGGCUCACCAAGGCAACGAUGCGUAGCCGACCUGAGAGGGGGAUCGGCCACACUGGGACUGAGACACGGCCCAGACUCCUACGGGAGGCAGCAGUAGGGUAUCUUCCGCAAUGGACGAAAGUCUGACGGAGCAACGCCGCGUGAGUGAUGAAGGCUUUCGGGUCGUAAAACUCUGUUGUUAGGGAAGAACAAGUGCUAGUUGAAUAAGCUGGCACCUUGACGGUACCUAACCAGAAAGCCACGGCUAACUACGUGCCAGCCGCCGCAGUAA
rnacentral:rRNA from 1 species